rnacentral:rRNA from 1 species
GUCUAGUGGCGCACGGGUGCGUAACGCGUGGGAAUCUGCCCUUCGGUUCGGAAUAACAGUUAGAAAUGACUGCUAAUACCGGAUAAUGACGUAAGUCCAAAGAUUUAUCGCCGAAGGAUGAGCCCGCGUAGGAUUAGCUAGUUGGUAAGGUAAAAGCUUACCAAGGCGACGAUCCUUAGCUGGUCUGAGAGGAUGAUCAGCCACACUGGGACUGAGACACGGCCCAGACUCCUACGGGAGGCAGCAGUGGGGAAUAUUGGACAAUGGGCGAAAGCCUGAUCCAGCAAUGCCGCGUGAGUGAUGAAGGCCUUAGGGUUGUAAAGCUCUUUUACCAGGGAUGAUAAUGACAGUACCUGGAGAAUAAGCUCCGGCUAACUCCGUGCCAGCAGCCGCGGUAAUACGGAGGGAGCUAGCGUUAUUCGGAAUUACUGGGCGUAAAGCGUACGUAGGCGGUUAUUCAAGUCAGAGGUGAAAGCCCGGGGCUCAACCCCGGAACUGCCUUUGAAA